UACAGAGGGGGCAAGCGUUAUUCGGAAUUAUUGGGUUUAAAGGGUGCGUAGGCGGUCGUAUAAGUCAGUGCUGAAAUAUCCCGGCUUAACCGGGAGGGUGGCAUUGAUACUGCAUGACUUGAGUAAAGUUGAGGUUGGCGGAAUUGACGGUGUAGCGGUGAAAUGCUUAGAUAUCGUCAAGAACACCUAUUGCGAAGGCAGCUAACUAAGCUUUAACUGACGCUGAGGCACGAAAGUGUGGGGAUCAAACAGG
rnacentral:rRNA from 1 species